AAGCAACAAGUUGAAGAAAUUGUAAGUUAGGAGCCCGCCUGAAGAAUAGGGUGAUGAAGUAACGAGUCAGGAGUCAAGGAAAGUUGCAUAGAUAGAGUUUUUCUAAUUUUAUUUAUGUUUUUAACUUGUAAUUUUCAUUUUUUAUGUAAUGACAAAGCCGCGUACUGGAACCUCGACGGGACCUCACUCGACUCUCCAACUCGGUUGUCC
rnacentral:lncRNA from 1 species